UUGUGUGGUCUACAGAGCAUCUCAGCAGGGUUCUAGUUGAGUCUUUGCAAGGACAUGGUUUUUGCAGCUAAAAUAAGUAAUCUCAUACUCAACCUUUUCAAAUAACCCAACAUCGAUCCCUAUCUUCUCCACUCACCCUAGCAUAGCAAAUAGCAAUUUCCUCAUGAUGAAGCACGUCUAGGAAGAAGCAUCCAUAAAUCUCAUCACCGUAAGCUUUUCUUCCAUUUUUUCUUCUCAUCUUGUUCUUCCUUUUUUUUGCCCUCUAGGAAUUGCUAACCCUCUCUUGCACAGAAGAAAGGAAAAAAUAAAAUAAAAUAAAAUGAAAGAAACCAUAGUGUUGCAUCCAGUUCCUGGCUUCCACCACAUGGUCUCCUUAGUAGAACUAGGAAAGCUAAUCCUACAACAUCAUCCCCACUUCUCCAUAACAAUCUUAGUUCCAACCAUGCCUUUAGAUACAUCCACCACCACUUCCUCAUACAUCAACCAUAUCUCCAAAACCAAUCUUCCAAUCACUUUCUUCUCCCUUCCAUCAAUCCCACCCCACCAAGAAACCCAAGACCAGCUAGCCAUGAUUUUGGAGUACAUGCGCCUCAAUGCCUCAUUCGUUGUUGAUGCACUACAAACCAUGUGUCUCUCCUCCUCCAUCCUUGCUCUUAUAACCUCUUCUGUCUACAUCUAUGAUGGCCUUGAUAACCUCCACAUCCCAACUUACUACUACUUCAGUUCUUGUGCCUCUACUCUCGCAAUCCUUCUCCACUUGCCAACACUACACAACCAAACCACCAAAAGUUUCAAGGACCUCAACGACACUCUCUUGCACGUUCCUGGAAUACCACCCAUCAAAGCCUCUUACAUGCCUCAACCUUUGCUUGACCGGGAUGGCCCUGUUUAUCAUUACUUCUUUAACUAUGCCUCUUGUAUGUCCAAAUCAAAAGGGGUCAUAGUAAACACAUUUGACAUACUUGAGCCACAAGCAAUCAAUGCCAUAGCAAGUGGUGCAUGUAUUUCAAAUGGUGCAACACCGCCUAUUUGGCUAUUUACUCCAUUGGGCCAUUGAUCACAGAUGCUAAAGAUCAAUCCGGCAAUUCAACAUCAGAAGCUUUGGCGUGGUUAGAUGCACAGCCGAGCAGAAGCGUUGUGUUCUUGUGCUUCGGUAGUAAAGGUACUUUUUCUGAAGCACAACAUGAAAAGAUUGCACAUGGGCUGGAGAGGAGCAACCAGAGGUUCUUGUGGGUGGUAAAGAGUCCUAAGGGUUCUACUAGUGAUCAACCACAGUUAGAGAUUCUAUUGCCAGAAGGGUUUUUGGAAAGGACAAAAGGAAGGGGUUUGGUUGUUAAGUGUUGGGCUCCCCAGAAUGCUAUUCUGAGACAUGAAUCGGUAGGUGGGUUUGUGACACACUGUGGGUGGAACUCGCUGCUAGAAGCAGUGAGCUAUGGUGUGCCAAUCGUGGCAUGGCCUUUGUACGCUGAACAGCACUUGAAUGCUGUAGCUUUGGUGGAGGAAAUGAAGCUGGCAAUACCCAUUGACACAUCAACAUCAAUGGUAUCUUGUAAGGAAGGAGAGGAAGAAGGGUUGGUGAGUGCAGAGGAGGUGGAAAAGAAGGUGAGACAGUUGAUGGAAUUUGAGGAAGGGAAAGUUCUGAGACAGCGAAGUCUAGAGAUGAGAGCAAUGGCUAUGGCGGCUUGGACUAGUGGUGGGUCAUCCUUCACUGCCUUCACCACUUUGGUGGCUUCUUGGAAGCAAGGAUGAUAGUGAACUUUACCUACUUAUAUCUCAUGUUUGAUUGUGAGGACUUGUUUGUUGACUUUGGUUGUAUCUUGUUCAUGUAUCAGGAUGUAAUGUAAUUUGUCGAGUGUCUGUCAAGUUAGUAAAAGACAUAGCACGCCACCGCAUUAAACUAGGAGAAGAAAGAACACCACUUCUUUUUUCUUUUUUCUUUUUUCUUUUUUUUUUUUUUUUU